rnacentral:lncRNA from 1 species
AUUUGCCCAACAUAAUGAAUUGGAGGGGAGCGGUGGGGCACGAUUCAGUCCACUGCACACCGUUCUCCUCUCCAGACCUCUCACUGGCAAGUCCUUUCAUCUCAAUUUCAGUUCUGUGAGGCCGUCCUACUAUUGUCUAUCACCCUGUUUGAUUUUUUUGUAGCCUCAUCAUUUAUUCAUUACAGUUUCUUAAGUUCUUUUUUUUAGGGAGCUUGUCAUUGCCUAGAAGAGUGCUGGGCACACAAUAGUGAUACUGAAUAUACAACUAAAAUCAUGUAAUAUAGCACAUGAGAUUCUUAAUGCUAAAAUUAAGACUUUUUAACAUGAAAAAUGCUCUUAAGGGCAGAAAUGAAGCAAAUUUCAGGCAAGAUGGCAGACAAGACUGAAACGGAUUCAUCCAUCAACUGCUACAGACUUAAAAAACAAAAUAUGCCCAAUGCAAAGCUGAGCUCAGGAAAUCCUCAGAUGCUAGAGAUAAAGACAAAAUCCAGUUGCAGAAGUGAGUUCCAGGUGAUGCCAGGAGACCCCAGGAAGUAUCAGAUUAGGUCACAAAACUAGGAAUAAGGUUUUAAUGUCUUCAGAAAAACAGAGCAUUUGGUGAGAGAAGGGAACUAAUCCGAGACUCCCGCAUACAACCAGGACACUUGAAGGGCUGCCUCACCUGUGAAAAAGAAACUGGAAAAAUCUCUUCAAAUCUGUCUGUGGAAACAGAAAGACAGCCUGGUGUUUGACAAAGCUCUCGGUGGGACAAACCUCCUCUGAGAAAUGGAAACCUAGGAAAUCAAAAGCCCAGAAAUUAAGGGAAAGCAUUAGUCUCAGAUAAUGAAAAGGAAACCCUUGGGGCCCGGGCCAAAGCAAAUGUAAAAACAUGAACACUUGCAUAAUCUCGUACAUGGGACUCACAGAAAAUGCAACCCCUAAUAUAGAUGAGCUCGCAAUGAAAAAUUAUCCACCACUGUGGCAAUGCAGUCACCAAAAGGAAGACUCAACAGACCAAUGAGCAUAGACACGAGCUGUGGAGGUAACAACUGGAAACAGAAGAAUAAAAUCUCAAGAUAAAUAAUUUAAAAAUACUUAACAUGGAAAAAUAUUUCACUUAAAAAAUAUAACUUUUAGAAAAAAUAUAGUAUCAUUAACUUAAAAAUUCAGUAGCUAGGUUGAACAAUAAAUUCACCACAAAUGAAAAGAGAAUUAGAGAUCUGGAUCACGGAGCUGGAAGAUGAAUGCAGAGGCAGCACAGGGAGGUAAAGCAAUGGAAAAGAUCGCAGGGAGUCCCAAGACCCGGGAUGCUCCCUCGAGUCACUCACAGGAGCUCCAGAGGAAAGGACAGAUCAUGGGGAAAGGCAAUAUUUGAAGCAACAAUGACUGGGAAUUUUUCAUAAUUAAGAAAGAUGUAAAUAUUCAGAGGGAAAAUGCAGAUCUAGACACUUUUCAGAAACACUAUGAAACUCCAAAGUCAAGGAAAAGAUUAAAAGCAACUAGAAACAAAAGACAGUUUACAAUAAAAGAUCCAAAUUAGAUGGAAAUUACAUGUCUCAUUAAUAAAAUAGAGGUCAGAGAAAAGGGUAAAAAAUGUUCAACAUGCUCAAAGAACAAAAGUUAUUCAUCUACAAUACAACUUAGUAAAAUUAUCAUUCAAAAAUAAAGACAAAUCAAAUGUAUUUGACUAAGACUGAAGGGUAUUUUUUUAACCCCUGGAUCAUCAACUUUACCAAAGGAUAAAAUUUAUUAAAAAUCUAUUUGUAACUUUUCCUGGUAUAAAAUGUAAGUAUGAUCAGCUUGUCGAAAGAAUGAAUCAAUGACACUCUGUCUUCGUGGAGAGCAGCCUGGGUGUGGAAUCAGGCACCCCCGGGUUCAAAGCCAUCACUGGCGAACUCACAAAGAGUGGGACUCACCGACCUGAGGGUUUGCCAGCACACUCGUAGCCCGCGGGACUAGAGUAUUUGUGAGAGAGGAGUGUGGUCUUUUGAUUGAAGAACAGAAGUCAUUCGUGAAGGACACAGCACACACAGCCCAGAGAGCUCGCAGGUUAAAACUGCACAUGGAGCAAUGUCUGCCAGCCAUUCAGGGUACUUCAAAAUAGGUCAGAAUACGUUUCCAGAAAGUGACACCUUCUUUUUGGGUUUGCGUAUAAUAAUAAAUCUAGGGGAU